CACUGCCUCCAUCUCUCUCUACUUCAUCUGGCAGCUGGUUUCCCUGGUGGUCCGGAAAGAUUGCAAGCAACCAAGAGAAACCUGUGUUGUUUGGGCGUAAGGAAAUCCCUGCACCUUUGCACAGAACCCUGAUCUGAAAACUCCCCUUUGACUCGGGAUACAAUCAAUCUUCCUUCAUGAAUCCUGUCUCUGAAAUACUUACUUUCUACAACAAAACCUGAACUACACAUGUCUGUUUCCCCAAUCUGCAAAACACCUAAUUCUGCCAAAGAAAAUAAGAGAUUUCAAGGUGAGGAUUGAGAAAUGCAGUAUCAAAGAAAUGUCAUUCAACAGCUUUCACUCAGAUAAUUUUUUUCCAAUUCAUCACCACUCUUGAAUCAUGAUCAGGCAUUCUGCUAAAACCUCAAGCACAGAUGGUUUAUUUCUAAUCCAGUAUAGAGUGAUUCUGUGUCCUUUCAAAGUUUUGAACUACAAUUACACACAAUCUUGUACCUCCAAGUGCUAAAUGGGUGGAGUACAUGUGCAGAAAAACUGAAAUUCAUCAGUUUACCUACCUUUACUCUAAUAUCACACCUUUUACUGGGUAAUCUCAACAGCUAAACAUGCAACAUAAACAAUUGUAGGAAGUUAAGUAAGCUGGAGUGAUGGCUACCAAUUUGGGGGGAAAAGUUUCCUUGGUUAAACAUACACUGGGUAAGCCAGAUUUUACCACUUACUUCAGGACAAAUGACUAGGUGGCUCAGUGGCUAAAACACUGAGCUUGUCGAUCAGAAAGGUUGGCAAUUCAGCGGUUCAAAUCCCUAGUACAGGUCUCCUGCGUGAGCAGGGGGUUGGACUAGAUGACCUCCAAGGUCCCUUUCCUACUACUGUUCCAACUGUAACAAGUUACAAUUACCAAUCUGUUACAUGAAGACCUCAAGAGACAGAUCUGUUUUUUAAAAAAAUAAUUCUGCCAUUAAUAGUGAAACCAAUAUGAUUAGCACUUAAAAAGAGGGUAAAGAAGUGGGAAGUGGGAAUGGAAAAAGAAAGAUGAGUUUAGUUCAUACAAUUUGGUUUUGGUUUAGCACAUUCACCCAAAAUAUACCUUUUAAGGGCAAAAGAAAACAACUGGUAAAUUUUCUCUUUCCCCCCUCCCAACCGCCCACUGCACACAAAGACAUUUGGGGAAGGCAUUCCAGAAAUCAGGACUGCACAGGGAGAACCAAGUUAAGAGAGGAAGAGAUGCAUAAAAUAGUUUGGGAUGCACAAUGAACAUUCUGUGCUGGUCUUGAUACACGUACUACUAAAAAGUGCAGGGUGUGCACAUAUUCAUAUAUUCUCAGGACUUUGCCACAUGAACAGGUUCAAAGGAGUCAUAUGAAAUGGCCAUCUAAAAAAGUGGAAUGCCAAGCACCAGCUUUCCUUUUUCUAAAUGUUUUUACUUAUAAUCUAAUUCACAAGUUAUUUAGUCUUUCUACAACUGGGGCAGUGAGUGGGGAGGGGGAAUAUGUUCAGAUAGGAGGAGGAAAGAGAAGAGAAAAAUGGGGGGGUGGGAUUUAGCCAUUCUAAAGAAUGGCUUAUCUUCUACACAAUUUUGCCAUGUGUAUCUAAUAAAGCGGUGAACCAAUCCAGAUUUAAUUUAUUCGCCAUUUCACUCUCUGUUGUUAGAAGCAGUAGAAACCUUAUGUAGGCUGUGAAUGUAUCUGGGCAGCAAGAAUACUUUUAAUACUAAAAAUGCUGUCUCACUCUUAGCCCACAAAAUAGACUGUCAAACCUCUCCUCCUGCUAGCUUCUCCCUGUUUUAUCAGACACCAGGGAGCUGUCAGCGGGUGGGGUAGGGGAGACUUAGGAGGAGGACAGUUCAGGUGGUGGUUCUGGAUGAAGAUGACAAUCACAGAUCAAAGCUACAUUUUAUGGACAGUGGACUCAUCCAUAAAGUAGAAAGCACUACUAAACGCUUGUGUCCAAGUGUAGUGUUUCCUACUUUAUGGAUGAGUGUACUGUGAGCAACGGAGGCAACAAGGGACAACACAAUCAGGAAUGGAAAACAGAAGCAGCAGCAUAAUGUGUAAGUAUUGUCAGAUUGUCCACAGAUUGUAUUGCACAAUAUUUUAUUUAGGUACAGAUUCCCUUUGAUGUACUGCCAUUAUAUUCAUCCUUUUUUCCCAGCAUUUGGACUCAAAAUUCCCCAAGCUACAUUUAGGACCAUUUUGUAUGUUUCUGAGUUUAAAUAAAAUAAAGGAGAAAAGCUAACAAAGUG